AUGGACGCAAGUCUGAUGGAGCAACGCCGCGUGAGUGAAGAAGGGUUUCGGCUCGUAAAGCUCUGUUGGUAGUGAAGACAGAUAGAGGUAGUAACUGGCCUUUAUUUGACGGUAAUUACUUAGAAAGUCACGGCUAACUACGUGCCAGCAGCCGCGGUAAUACGUAGGUGGCAAGCGUUGUCCGGAUUUAUUGGGCGUAAAGCGAGUGCAGGCGGUUCAAUAAGUCUGAUGUGAAAGCCUUCGGCUCAACCGGAGAAUUGCAUCAGAAACUGUUGAACUUGAGUGCAGAAGAGGAGAGUGGAACUCCAUGUGUAGCGGUGGAAUGCGUAGAUAUAUGGAAGAACACCAGUGGCGAAGGCGGCUCUCUGGUCUGCAACUGACGCUGAGGCUCGAAAGCAUGGGUAGCGAACAGGAUUAGAUACCCUGGUAGUCCAUGCCGUAAACGAUGAGUGCUAAGUGUUGGGAGGUUUCCGCCUCUCAGUGCUGCAGCUAACGCAUUAAGCACUCCGCCUGGGGAGUACGACCGCAAGGUUGAAACUCAAAGGAAUUGACGGGGGCCCGCACAAGCGGUGGAGCAUGUG
rnacentral:rRNA from 1 species